ACCAUUUUAAGAAAGUUCUGCAAAUACUAAUGGUAUGAUAUUAUACACCAUUACAUGUACAUUGGCCAGUUGAAUUCUUAUCAGGAUAAUUAAAACAAAAAUAAUUAAAAGAUAACUGUAUUAGACAUUAUAAAUGUUUUUCUCACAGUAGCCAUGUGAAGGGUUAGAACAUAUUUUCCAAGUUAGAAAACUGAAAACUAAAAAUUGUGAAAACAUCUACCAGACCGAGAAUUAUUUUACCAGUUUAAUAUUUAAAGAUACAAUUUGUACCAAGUAUAUUAACAAGAUUUUCUAAAAAAAUAGCAAGAGUAAAUCCUGAGAUUGGAAUAGAGCUUCCAAGAUUUGUUAAUUCAAUGGGAGAUAACUCUGUAAAAUAUUCAGAUUUUAAUGCAGUUGAUAUUCAAAUCAUUAUUCUUUGACUUCCUUUUAGUUUUCCAUCUUUAUAUAUUAAUUUUACAAAUUUAGGUGUUGAUGUUAUACUAUUGUGAACAUGAAGUAAGAAAUCAAAACAAUAUUUAGUAAAUGUUUAUGUUGACAGAAAUGGAUUUAUAAAAUAUAUAAUAAUGUAUCCAUUUUAAUUCCUUUUUAGGUAACCUUUCUGUGACAUGAUUUUCAUGGUGUUGGAUUAUAAAACUUUGGGGUCUAAUACAUCUAAAAGGAAGGUUAACAUCACAGCUUGUCCGUAAGGAUUGAGGUUGGGAAUGGCCAUUGGAGCUGACUUUUAUGGUAACUUUAACUGUGGCUGCAUGAAAAUGAUUGGGUGACUGUACCAGUAAAGAAUGUAAUUCAGACAAUUUUUGUGUAUGUUUGAGAAAAUGUUUAUAAUUUUUUACAAAAAAAAAAAAAUAGUGUAAAGAUUCUCCAUUUUCAACAAGAUUGUAAGUUAUAGAUAACUUAUUUUGAAUUUUAAAAUCUCUCUUUUUACCAUUAAAACCAAAGGAUAUAUUCAGGUAGCUCUACUCAUGUCCAUUCUUGACAAUUUUUUUGUCAUGCAUAUUGAUACUGAACUGGUUUUUGGUAUGUAUAGUUUAGUUUUGUGUUCAUAGUUCAGAUUGUAUUCAUUAUUUUUUUUCCCCUGUGGCUAGAUUUAAUUGGUACUUUGAAAAUGAAUUGAAAUGGACCAAUUUUAUUUGAAGACCUACUCUUUUAGAUAUAUUAAUAAUGGUCCGUGUCUAGUCAAAACACUUCCAGAAGUUAAGAAUGGAGAAUCUAAAAAAAAAAGAAAAAAAUGAGAAAUGUAUAUUUUGGCUUUCACCGUUGUUAAAUAUAUAUCUUUUCCGA